AGAGUUUGAUCCUGGCUCAGGAUGAACGCUAGCGGCAGGCUUAACACAUGCAAGUCGAGGGGCAUCGGGAGGGAAGCUUGCUUUCCUUGCCGGCGACCGGCGCACGGGUGAGUAACACGUAUGCAACCUGCCCUCUUCAGGGGGACAACCUUCCGAAAGGGAGGCUAAUCCCGCGUAUAUCGGUUUCGGGCAUCCGAGAUCGAGGAAAGAUUCAUCGGAAGAGGAUGGGCAUGCGGCGCAUUAGCUAGACGGCGGGGUAACGGCCCACCGUGGCGACGAUGCGUAGGGGUUCUGAGAGGAAGGUCCCCCACACUGGUACUGAGACACGGACCAGACUCCUACGGGAGGCAGCAGUGAGGAAUAUUGGUCAAUGGGAGAGAUCCUGAACCAGCCAAGCCGCGUGAGGGAAGACGGCCCUAUGGGUUGUAAACCUCUUUUGUCGGAGAACAAAACCCGGGACGAGUCCCGGACUGCGUGUAUCCGAAGAAAAAGCAUCGGCUAACUCCGUGCCAGCAGCCGCGGUAAUACGGAGGAUGCGAGCGUUAUCCGGAUUUAUUGGGUUUAAAGGGUGCGUAGGCGGUCCGUUAAGUCAGCGGUAAAAUUGCGGGGCUCAACCCCGUCGAGCCGUUGAAACUGGCAGACUUGAGUUGGCGAGAAGUACGCGGAAUGCGCGGUGUAGCGGUGAGAUGCAUAGAUAUCGCGCAGAACUCCGAUUGCGAAGGCAGUGUACCGGCGCCAGACUGACGCUGAGGCACGAAAGCGUGGGGAUCGAACAGGAUUAGAUACCCUGGUAGUCCACGCAGUAAACGAUGAAUGCUGGUUGUCCGGGGUCGAAAUGAGACCUGGGCGGCGAAGCGAAAGCGAUAAAGCAUUCCACCUGGGGAGUACGCCGGCAACGGUGAAACUCAAAGGAAUUGACGGGGGCCCGCACAAGCGGAGGAACAUGUGGUUUAAUUCGAUGAUACGCGAGGAACCUUACCCGGGCUCAAACGGGAGUGGAAUGGUCCAGAGACGGUUCAGCCUACGGGCCGCUUCCGAGGUGCUGCAUGGUUGUCGUCAGCUCGUGCCGUGAGGUGUCGGCUUAAGUGCCAUAACGAGCGCAACCCCCGCCGGCAGUUGCUAACGGGCAAUGCCGAGGACUCUGCCGGGACUGCCGCCGCAAGGCGUGAGGAAGGCGGGGAUGACGUCAAAUCAGCACGGCCCUUACGUCCGGGGCGACACACGUGUUACAAUGGGCGGUACAGCGGGAAGCCAGGCGGCGACGCCGAGCGGAACCCGAAAGCCGUUCUCAGUUCGGAUCGGAGUCUGCAACCCGACUCCGUGAAGCUGGAUUCGCUAGUAAUCGCGCAUCAGCCAUGGCGCGGUGAAUACGUUCCCGGGCCUUGCACACACCGCCCGUCAAG
rnacentral:rRNA from 1 species